rnacentral:misc_RNA from 1 species
GAUGAAGAACGUAGCGAAAUGCGAUACUUGGUGUGAAUUGCAGAAUCCCGUGAACCAUCGAGUCUUUGAACGCAAGUUGCGCCCGAAGCCAUUAGGCCGAGGGCACGCCUGCCUGGGUGUCACACGUCGUUGCCCCCCCAUCUACUCCUUCGGGAUUGCAGGGGGCGGAUGAUGGCCUCCCGUGCGCCUCGUCGCGCGGUUGGCAUAAAUGCCAAGUCCUCGGCGACGCACGCCACGACAAUCGGUGGUUGCGAAACCUCGGUUGCCCGUCGUGUGCGGUCGUCGCGCAUCGAGGGCUCGAAAAAAUUGCCGGGCUCCGGCUCGGCUUUCAACGCGACCCCAGGUCAGGCGGGGUUACCCGCUGAAUUUAAGCAUAUCAAUAAGCGGAGGA